AUGUUGGUCCUAAGAGCCAGGGGUGAAGAGGGGCUGGCUCUCUGUCCCCUCGUCGCGGGGGUUGCUUCCCCCCCUGCGAUGGAGGUCCCAAGAGCCAAGGGGGGAAGAGGGGCUGGCUCUCAGUCCCUGCCUCGCGGGGGUGCCUCCCGCCCUGGGAUGGGGAUCCAAAGAGCCAGGGGGGUAAAAAGGGCUGGCUCUCAGUCCCCGCCUCACAGAGGGUGCCUCCCCCCCCCGCGAUGGGAGUCCCAAGAAUCAGGGGGCGAAGAGAGGCUGGCUCUCAGCCACCACAAAAUGGGGGGCCUUUAUGUUCAGGUUUUGCCCAAGAGUCAGCUCAUUUGCUUCUUGUACUAGCAGGGGAGUUGCUGCCAAGGCCCUCAAACAGGGGGGCCAUCCUUUAGAAACCCUGUCUAGUUGUUCAGAGACAUAGGCCACCGGCCUCAUCCAAGGCCCCACAGUUUGGGUUAAAAGUCCACCUGCCAUCUUUUCUCUCUCUGACGCAUACAAUGGAAAAGGUUUUGUCAGAUCGGGUAACCCCAGGGCUGAAGCUGCCAGAAGUUUUUCCUUUAACUCAUGAAAGACUUGCUGUUGUUAGGAUCCCCAUUCCAAAGGUUCCCGGUCCCCGCCCCCUUUGUGACCUCAUACAAAGGCUUGGCUUAUAUUGCAAAGUUUGGGAUCCACAGUCUACAAAACCCCACAGCUCCUGAGAAUUCUCUCGCCUGCCUUUGGCCCUUAGGCUCUGGUAGAUUGCAAAUAACAUGCUUUCUUUCUGUUCCCGGGUGGCUUCGGACCCCUGUCGGAUCGGAAAUCCCAAGGAGGCGUCGGACCCCGUCCGAUAGUAAAUCCCAAGUAAGGUACCUGCCGUCGGCAGAUUUGAGCUUUCUGCCUGGACACCUAAUACCCACAGUCCUCCAGGCUCUGGUAGAUUGCAAAUAACCUGCUUUCUUUCUGUUCCCGGGCGGCGUGGGACCCCUGUCGGAUAGUCAAUCCCAAUUAAGGUACCCGCCGUCGGCAGAUUUGAGCUUUCUUCUUGGACACCUAAUACCCACAGUCCUCCAGGCUCUGGUAGAUUGCAAAUGACCUGCUUACUUUCUGUUCCCGGGCUGCGUUCUGACACCUGUUGGACAGUAAAUCCCAAGUAAGGUACCUGCCUUCGGCAGAUUUGAGCUUUCUUCUUGGACACCUAUACCCACAGUCCUCCAGGAGGGUCCUAAGGCUCCGGUAGAUUGCAAAUAACCUGCUUUCUUUCUGUUCCCGGGCUGAGUUCGGACCCCUGUCGGAGAGUAAAUCCCAAGUAAGUGUUUUAGACGCCCAGUUGCACAACUUGAUUGCCUUACAAAUGACCUGCUUCCAGGAUGCGGAAAUUCCUAAUUUCUUCUGUGACCCUUCUCAACUCCCCCAUCUUGCAUGUUGUGACACCUUCACCAAUAACAUAAUCAUGUAUUUCCCUGCUGUCAUAUUUGGUUUUCUUCCCAUCUCUGGGACCCUUUUCUCUUACUAUAAAAUUGUUUCCUCCAUUCUGAGUGUUUCAUCAUCACGUGGGCAGUAUAAGGCCUUCUCCACCUGUGGGUCUCACCUGUCAGUUGUUUGCUGAUUUUACGGAACGGGCGUUGGAGGGUACUUCAGUUCAGAUGUGUCAUCUUCCCCGAGAAAGGCUGCAGUGGCCUCAGUGAUGUACACGGUGAUCACCCCAUGCUGAACCCCUUCAUCUACAGCCUGAGAAACAGGCAUAUUAAAAGUGUCCUGCGGCGGCCGCACAGCAGCACCGUCCAAUCUCCGUGUCUUCUUAACUGUUCCAUUCCUUUUGUAGUGUGGGUUAACAAAGGCAGCAAGGUCAAAUAAGAAUGAUAUCACAGGGUGAACACCCAAAGUGAUAUUAGGAGUAAUACUCCCUAGGAUAUAGAAUAUACUGUCACAGAGUACACACAGAUGGGGUACACCCACUGUCAUAUUAGAAGCAAUAUCUCCCUAACGUAUGAGGAAAAAUAUCACAGGGUGUGCACACUGUGUGAUAUGAGGAGUAAUAUUUACCCUGGAUAUUACGACUAAUAUCAAGGGUGUACACACACGGGGUACACGCACUGUGAUAUCAGGAUUUGUAUCUCCCUAGGAUAUUACGAAUACUAUCACAGGGUAUAUACUAUGUGUGUACAUCCACUGUGAUAUUUGAAGUAAUAUCUCUCUAUGAGAUUGCAAAUAACAUCAAAGCGUGUACACCCCUGUGUGUACACAUUAGGAGUAACAUCCUUCUAGGGUAUUACAGAUAAUGUCACAGCGUGUACACCUCUGUGACGUUUUGUACACACUUUGUGACAUUAAAAGAAACAUCCCCCUAGGAUAUUGUGAAUAAUAACACAGGAGGGGUACACACAUGGUGUACACCGCCUGUGUCAUCAGGAGUAACAUUCCCCUAGGAUAUUAUAAAUAAUAUCACAGCAGGUGUACACACAUGGUGUACGCCCCAUGUGACAUUCGGAAGAGCAUGCCCCUAGGAUAUUAGGAAUAGUAUCACAGGCGUUGAAUACGCAUUUUUAAUGUGU
rnacentral:lncRNA from 1 species